rnacentral:rRNA from 1 species
UACGGGGGGGGCAAGCGUUGUUCGGAAUUACUGGGCGUAAAGGGCUCGUAGGUGGCCAACUAAGUCAGACGUGAAAUCCCUCAGCUUAACUGGGGAACUGCGUCUGAUACUGGAUGGCUUGAGUUUGGGAGAGGGACGCGGAAUUCCAGGUGUAGCGGUGAAAUGCGUAGAUAUCUGGAGGAACAUCAGUGGCGAAGGCGGCUUCCUGGACCAAUACUGACGAUCAGGCGCGAAAGCGUGGGGAGCAAACAGG